rnacentral:misc_RNA from 1 species
GCCCAACACCCCCAUGAUCAUGACCUUUUAACCCUGGAGAAACCUGCAUUUGGGUGGACUGUGGAUGUGUAACAUGUUUUGUUCCAUAAGAAGCUUCAACAUCAGCAUCCAGAUCCCCCAUAGGAUGAUACUGAAAUUUACGAACUCCCGAAGGCUUUCGACCAACAUGGCCAGAUGAUUUUAGUUUUGCCCCAGACAAAGUCUGUGAAUCAUUUGCAUCUUGCCAAGC